AUCACCUGGGGAUCUUGUUAAAAUGCAGCCUCUGAUUUGGGAGGUCCGGGGUGGGCACAGAGAUGCACCAUUUCUAACGAGCUCCCAGGUGAUGCUGA
rnacentral:pre_miRNA from 1 species